CUCCCGGCCGGAUCCCGUGGGGGGAAUCCGAGCCGGGACGGAAAGCGCCUCGCUCCGAC
rnacentral:ncRNA from 1 species